rnacentral:rRNA from 1 species
GUAAGGAAUAUUGGACAAUGGGCGGAAGCCUGAUCCAGCCAUCCCGCGUGCAGGAUGAAGGCCCUCUGGGUUGUAAACUGCUUUUAUUGGGGAAGAAUUCUUAUUAUUUAUAAUGAGUUGACGGUACCCAAGGAAUAAGCACCGGCUAACUCCGUGCCAGCAGCCGCGGUAAUACGGAGGGUGCAAGCGUUAUCCGGAAUCACUGGGUUUAAAGGGUGCGUAGGCGGCCCGGCAAGUCAGGGGUGAAAUAUCAUCGCUUAACGAUGAAAUUGCCUUUGAUACUGCUGGGCUUGAAACAGGUUGAGGUUGGCGGAAUGUGGCAUGUAGCGGUGAAAUGCAUAGAUAUGCCAUAGAACACCGAUUGCGAAGGCAGCUGACUGGACCUGGAUUGACGCUGAGGCACGAAAGCGUGGGGAUCAAACAGGAUUAGAUACCCCUGUAGUCC